GCAUUAGUAGCUCAGCCCCCAGAGCAUCGGUCUUGUAAACCGGAAGUCGAGGGUUAAAAUCCCCCCUACUGCU
rnacentral:tRNA from 2 species